rnacentral:rRNA from 1 species
CCUACGGGAGGCUGCAGUGAGGAAUAUUGGUCAAUGGACGAGAGUCUGAACCAGCCAAGUAGCGUGAAGGAUGACUGCCCUAUGGGUUGUAAACUUCUUUUAUAAAGGAAUAAAACGAGGCACGUGUGCCUUUUUGCAUGUACUUUAUGAAUAAGGAUCGGCUAACUCCGUGCCAGCAGCCGCGGUAAUACGGAGGAUCCGAGCGUUAUCCGGAUUUAUUGGGUUUAAAGGGAGCGUAGAUGGGUUGUUAAGUCAGUUGUGAAAGUUUGCGGCUCAACCGUAAAAUUGCAAUUGAUACUGGCAGACUUGAGUACAGGUGAGGUAGGCGGAAUUCGUGGUGUAGCGGUGAAAUGCGUAGAUAUCACGAAGAACCCCGAUUGCGAAGGCAGCUUUCUAAACUGUGACUGACAUUGAUGCGCGAAAGUGUGGGUAUCAAACAGGAUUAGAUACCCGAGUAGUC